rnacentral:rRNA from 1 species
UACGUAGGGUCCAAGCGUUAAUCGGAAUUACUGGGCGUAAAGCGUGCGUAGGCGGUCUCGCAAGUCCGAUGUGAAAUCCCCGAGCUUAACUUGGGAACUGCGUUGGAAACUAUGAGGCUGGAGUGCGGCAGAGGGGGGUGGAAUUCCAGGUGUAGCAGUGAAAUGCGUAGAGAUCUGGAGGAACACCGAUGGCGAAGGCAGCCCCCUGGGCCAGCACUGACGCUGAUACACGAAAGCGUGGGGAGCAAACAGG